GAUGAAGAACGGAGCGAAAUGCGAUACUUGGUGUGAAUUGCAGAAUCCCGUGAACCAUCGAGUCUUUGAACGCAAGUUGCGCCCGAAGCCAUUAGGCCGAGGGCACGCCUGCCUGGGUGUCACACGUCGUUGCCCCCCCAUCUACUCCUUCGGGAUUGCGGGGGGCGGAUGAUGGCCUCCCGUGCGCCUCGUCGCGCGGUUGGCAUAAAUGCCAAGUCCUCGGCGACGCACGCCACGACAAUCGGUGGUUGCGAAACCUCGGUUGCCCGUCGUGUGCGGUCGUCGCGCAUCGAGGGCUCGAAAAAAUUGCCGGGCUCCGGCUCGGCUUUCAACGCGACCCCAGGUCAGGCGGGGUUACCCGCUGAAUUUAAGCAUAUCAAUAAGCGGAGGA
rnacentral:misc_RNA from 1 species